rnacentral:lncRNA from 1 species
CCGAGUCUGUACGCCAGACGCUACACUGUGCUCGUAAUCCUGAAGGACCACUAGCUAACCCAUUACUGGUACCUGCUAUAAUAAUUGACUAAUAACACUAUAUAAUAUAGAAUAAUAGGUUGAAUGAAAUAAGGUUCAAAAUUGUAAUACUGAUGAAAAGAACAUGAUAAAGUCUGAUAAAACAUCAUAAUCUAAAAUACUGAAUACUGUCUGAACAUCUAGUCUUAAAAGCC